CGCCCUUGAGUUUGAUCAUGGCUCAGGACGAACGCUGGCGGCGUGCCUAACACCUGCAAGUCGAGCGAUGAAACCCUUCGGGGUGGAUUAGCGGCGGACGGGUGAGUAACACGUGGGCAACCUGCCUCAAAGAGGGGGAUAGCCUCCCGAAAGGGAGAUUAAUACCGCAUAACAUUAUUUCUUCGCAUGAAGAGAUAAUCAAAGGAGUAAUCCGCUUUGAGAUGGACCCGCGGCGCAUUAGCUAGUUGGUGAGGUAAUGGCUCACCAAGGCAACGAUGCGUAGCCGACCUGAGAGGGUGAUCGGCCACAUUGGAACUGAGAUACGGUCCAGACUCCUACGGGAGGCAGCAGUGGGGAAUAUUGCGCAAUGGGGGAAACCCUGACGCAGCAACGCUUUUUUUGUGAAGAAGGCCUUCGGGUUGUAAAGCUCUGUCUUCUGGGACGAUAAUGACGGUACCAGAGGAGGAAGCCACGGCUAACUACGUGCCAGCAGCCGCGGUAA
rnacentral:rRNA from 1 species